GACGAACGCUGGCGGCGUGCCUAACACAUGCAAGUCGAGCGGAGACAGUGAGUAGCUUGCUAUGAACUGUUUUAGCGGCGGACGGGUGAGUAACGCGUGAGCAACCUUUCCCAGACAGGGGAAUAACACACCGAAAGGUGUACUAAUACCGCAUAAGACCACGGGAUCACAUGGUUCUGGGGUAAAAGAUUUAUCGGUUUGGGGUGGGCUCGCGUCCGAUUAGGUAGUUGGUGAGGUAACGGCCCACCAAGCCGACGAUCGGUAGCCGACCUGAGAGGGUGAUCGGCCACAUUGGGACUGAGACACGGCCCAAACUCCUACGGGAGGCAGCAGUGGGGAAUAUUGGGCAAUGGAGGAAACUCUGACCCAGCAACGCCGCGUGGAGGAAGAAGGUUUUCGGAUCGUAAACUCCUGUCCUUGGAGACGAGUAGAAGACGGUAUCCAAGGAGGAAGCCCCGGCUA
rnacentral:rRNA from 1 species